rnacentral:rRNA from 1 species
AGUGAACGCUGGCGGCAGGCCUAACACAUGCAAGUCGAACGGCAGCACAGAGGAGCUUGCUCCUUGGGUGGCGAGUGGCGGACGGGUGAGGAAUGCAUCGGAAUCUGCCUAUUUGUGGGGGAUAACGUAGGGAAACUUACGCCAAUACCGCAUACGUCCUACGGGAGAAAGUGGGGGACCGCAAGGCCUCACGCAGAUAGAUGAGCCGAUGCCGGAUUAGCUAGUUGGCGGGGUAAAGGCCCACCAAGGCGACGAUCCGUAGCUGGUCUGAGGGGAUGAUCAGCCACACUGGAACUGAGACACGGUCCAGACUCCGACGGGAGGCAGCGGUGGGGAAUAUUGGACAAUGGGCGCAAGCCUGAUCCAGCCAUGCCGCGUGUGUGAAGAAGGCCUUCGGGUUGUAAAGCACUUUUGUCCGGAAAGAAAAGCAUUCGAUUAAUACUCGGGUGUUAUGACGGUACCGGAAGAAUAAGCACCGGCUAACUUCGUGCCAGCCGCCGCAGUAAAAC